rnacentral:rRNA from 1 species
GAUGAACGCUGGCGGCGUGCCUAAUACAUGCAAGUCGAGCGAACGGACGAGGAGCUUGCUCCUUCGACGUUAGCGGCGGACGGGUGAGUAACACGUAGGUAACCUACCUAUAAGACUGGGAUAACUUCGGGAAACCGGAGCUAAUACCGGAUAAUAUUUCGAACCGCAUGGUUCGAUAGUGAAAGAUGGCUUUGCUAUCACUUAUAGAUGGACCUGCGCCGUAUUAGCUAGUUGGUAAGGUAACGGCUUACCAAGGCAACGAUACGUAGCCGACCUGAGAGGGUGAUCGGCCACACUGGAACUGAGACACAGUCCAGACUCCUACGGGAGGCAGCAGUAGGGAAUCUUCCGCAAUGGGCGAAAGCCUGACGGAGCAACGCCGCGUGAGUGAUGAAGGUCUUCGGAUCGUAAAACUCUGUUAUUAGGGAAGAACAAACGUGUAAGUAACUGUGCACGUCUUGACGGUACCUAAUCAGAAAGCCACGGCUAACUACGUG